rnacentral:rRNA from 1 species
CCUAAGGGCGGCAGCAGUGGGGAAUAUUGGACAAUGGGCGAAAGCCUGAUCCAGCCAUGCCGCGUGUGUGAAGAAGGCCUUCGGGUUGUAAAGCACUUUCAGUGGGGAAGAAAGCCUUGGGGCUAAUACCCUCGAGGAAGGACAUCACCCACAGAAGAAGCACCGGCUAACUCCGUGCCAGCAGCCGCGGUAAUACGGAGGGUGCGAGCGUUAAUCGGAAUUACUGGGCGUAAAGCGCGCGUAGGCGGUCUGAUAAGCCGGUUGUGAAAGCCCCGGGCUCAACCUGGGAACGACAUCCGGAACUGUCAGGCUAGAGUGCAGGAGAGGAAGGUAGAAUUCCCGGUGUAGCGGUGAAAUGCGUAGAGAUCGGGAGGAAUACCAGUGGCGAAGGCGGCCUUCUGGACUGACACUGACGCUGAGGUGCGAAAGCGUGGGUAGCAAACAGGAUUAGAUACCCUAGUAGUC